rnacentral:rRNA from 1 species
UACGUAGGUGGCGAGCGUUAUCCGGAAUGAUUGGGCGUAAAGGGUGCGUAGGUGGCAAAUCAAGUCUGGAGUAAAAGGUAUGGGCUCAACCCGUACUUGCUCUGGAAACUGAUCAGCUAGAGAACAGAAGAGGACGGCGGAACUCCAUGUGUAGCGGUAAAAUGCGUAGAUAUAUGGAAGAACACCGGUGGCGAAGGCGGCCGUCUGGUCUGGAUUCUGACACUGAAGCACGAAAGCGUGGGGAGCAAAUAGG